UACGUAGGGUGCAAGCGUUAAUCGGAAUUACUGGGCGUAAAGCGUGCGCAGGCGGUGAUGUAAGACAGAUGUGAAAUCCCCGGGCUCAACCUGGGAACUGCAUUUGUGACUGCAUCGCUAGAGUACGGCAGAGGGGGAUGGAAUUCCGCGUGUAGCAGCGAAAUGCGUAGAUAUGCGGAGGAACACCGAUGGCGAAGGCAAUCCCCUGGGCCUGUACUGACGCUCAUGCACGAAAGCGUGGGGAGCAAACAGG
rnacentral:rRNA from 1 species